rnacentral:rRNA from 1 species
AUUGAACGCUGGCGGCAGGCCUAACACAUGCAAGUCGAGCGGAUGAAGGGAGCUUUCUCCUGGAUUCAGCGGCGGACGGGUGAGUAAUGCCUAGGAAUCUGCCUGGUAGUGGGUGAUAACGUCCGGAAACGGGCGCUAAUACCGCAUACGUCCUGAGGGAGAAAGUUGGGGAUCUUCGGACCUCACGCUAUCAGAUGAGCCUAGGUCGGAUUAGCUAGUUGGUGGGGUAAAGGCCUACCAAGGCGACGAUCCGUAACUGGUCUGAGAGGAUGAUCAGUCACACUGGAACUGAGACACGGUCAAGACUCCUACGGGAGGCAGCAGUGGGGAAUAUUGGACAAUGGGCGAAAGCCUGAUACAGCCAUGCCGAGUGUGUGAAGAAGGUCUUCGGAUUGUAAAGAACUUUAAGUUGGGAGGAAGGGCAGUAAGUUAAUACCUUGCUGUUUUGACGUUACCAACAGAAUAAGCACCGGCUAACUUCGUG